rnacentral:rRNA from 1 species
GAACCAGUACCGUGAGGGAAAGGUGAAAAGCACCCCGGAAGGGGAGUGAAAUAGAACCUGAAACCGUGUGCUUACAAGUAGUCAGAGCCCGUUAAUGGGUGAUGGCGUGCCUUUUGUAGAAUGAACCGGCGAGUUACGAUUUGAUGCAAGGUUAAGCAGUAAAUGUGGAGCCGUAGCGAAAGCGAGUCUGAAUAGGGCGUUUAGUAUUUGGUCGUAGACCCGAAACCAGGUGAUCUACCCUUGGUCAGGUUGAAGUUCAGGUAACACUGAAUGGAGGACCGAACCGACUUACGUUGAAAAGUGAGCGGAUGAACUGAGGGUAGCGGAGAAAUUCCAAUCGAACCUGGAGAUAGCUGGUUCUCUCCGAAAUAGCUUUAGGGCUAGCCUCAAGUGAUGAUUAUUGGAGGUAGAGCACUGUUUGGACGAGGGGCCCCUCUCGGGUUACCGAAUUCAGACAAACUCCGAAUGCCAAUUAAUUUAACUUGGGAGUCAGAACAUGGGUGAUAAGGUCCGUGUUCGAAAGGGAAACAGCCCAGACCACCAGCUAAGGUCCCAAAAUAUAUGUUAAGUGGAAAAGGAUGUGGCGUUGCCCAGACAACUAGGAUGUUGGCUUAGAAGCAGCCAUCAUUUAAAGAGUGCGUAAUAGCUCACUAGUCGAGUGACACUGCGCCGAAAAUGUACCGGGGCUAAACAUAUUACCGAAGCUGUGGAUUGUCCUUUGGACAAUGGUAGGAGAGCGUUCUAAGGGCGUUGAAGCAUGAUCGUAAGGACAUGUGGAGCGCUUAGAAGUGAGAAUGCCGGUGUGAGUAGCGAAAGACGGGUGAGAAUCCCGUCCACCGAUUGACUAAGGUUUCCAGAGGAAGGCUCGUCCGCUCUGGGUUAGUCGGGUCCUAAGCUGAGGCCGACAGGCGUAGGCGAUGGAUAACAGGUUGAUAUUCCUGUACCACCUAUAAUCGUUUUAAUCGAUGGGGGGACGCAGUAGGAUAGGCGAAGCGUGCGAUUGGAUUGCACGUCUAAGCAGUAAGGCUGAGUAUUAGGCAAAUCCGGUACUCAUUAAGGCUGAGCUGUGAUGGGGAGAAGACAUUGUGUCUUCGAGUCGUUGAUUUCACACUGCCGAGAAAAGCCUCUAGAUAGAAAAUAGGUGCCCGUACCGCAAACCGACACAGGUAGUCAAGAUGAGAAUUCUAAGGUGAGCGAGCGAACUCUCGUUAAGGAACUCGGCAAAAUGACCCCGUAACUUCGGGAGAAGGGGUGCUCUUUAGGGUUAACGCCCAGAAGAGCCGCAGUGAAUAGGCCCAAGCGACUGUUUAUCAAAAACACAGGUCUCUGCUAAACCGUAAGGUGAUGUAUAGGGGCUGACGCCUGCCCGGUGCUGGAAGGUUAAGAGGAGUGGUUAGCUUCUGCGAAGCUACGAAUCGAAGCCCCAGUAAACGGCGGCCGUAACUAUAACGGUCCUAAGGUAGCGAAAUUCCUUGUCGGGUAAGUUCCGACCCGCACGAAAGGCGUAACGAUUUGGGCACUGUCUCAACGAGAGACUCGGUGAAAUCAUAGUACCUGUGAAGAUGCAGGUUACCCGCGACAGGACGGAAAGACCCCGUGGAGCUUUACUGUAGCCUGAUAUUGAAAUUCGGCACAGCUUGUACAGGAUAGGUCUGUCUCUUAUACACAUCU